UCGUCCUACGGGGCGCAGCAGUGGGGGAUAUUGCACAAUGGGGGGAACCCUGAUGCAGCGACGCCGCGUGGGCGAUGGAGUACUUCGGUAUGUAAAGCCCUAUCAGCAGGGAAGAAAAUGACGGUACCUGACUAAGAAGCCCCGGCUAAAUACGUGCCAGCAGCCGCGGUAAUACGUAUGGGGCAAGCGUUAUCCGGAUUUACUGGGUUUAAAGGGUGCGCAGGCGGAUUUUUAAGUCAGCGGUCAAAUCGUGGGGCUCAACCCCAUCCAGCCGUUGAAACUGGGGAUCUAGAGUGUGCGAGAGG
rnacentral:rRNA from 1 species